UACGUAGGGCGCAAGCGUUGUCCGGAAUUAUUGGGCGUAAAGGAGCUCGUAGGCGGCUUGUCACGUCGAUUGUGAAAGCCCGAGGCUUAACCUCGGGUCUGCAGUCGAUACGGGCUAGCUAGAGUGUGGUAGGGGGAGAUCGGAAUUCCUGGUGUAGCGGUGAAAUGCGCAGAUAUCAGGAGGAACACCGGUGGCGAAGGCGGAUCUCUGGGCCAUUACUGACGCUGAGGAGCGAAAGCGUGGGGAGCGAACAGG
rnacentral:rRNA from 1 species